GUAAAUUCUUAGUGAAUUACCAGUAAAUUAUCUAUAAAUUACUCAUUAAAUUCUCAGUAAAGUACUCAGUAAACUACACGGUAUCUGGUAUCCUUAUCGGGUUCACUAGGGCUAAGGUUGAACAUCCCGCUGCUCACCUACAUACAUAUAAAUAAAGAGUGAGCUAACACCCAGUAAAUAAUACCAUAGUAAAGGGGUUGGGUGAAUGAGCCCCUUUUAACAGAUAAGUAUAACUAAUCAAAUCAGUAAGUAUUUUACAUCGGAAUGACCUUGGGUCCAACGUGCGACAGAACGACCUUAGGUCAAAUAGAUAGCAGAAUAUACAGUACAAGUUCAAUUAUUGUUCAACAGAAUGGCCUUCGGCCCAACAAUGUACAGAAUGACCUCAGGUCCAAUAGUCGACAAACUCACCGAUCGGAUUCAUUUAUCUCUUAUCAGAACGACUUUGGGUCCAAUCAUUUCCAGUAGCAUAAUGGCCAUUCAACUAUUGCAAUUGUAUAUCAAUCAUUCAAACUUGUGAGAGAUUCAAUCAUAUCAUAUCAGUCAAUCAAUCUUAUCAGAGAUUUAGAAUGACCUUUAGGUUCAUUUUAUCAGAUGUACGAAACGGCCUUAGGUCCAAUUCAGAUAUAUUGAGCAACCUCACUCCAUAAUUCAGUUGUAUAGAAUGACCUUGGGUCCAUUAUUCAAUUAUACAGAACGACCUUGGGUCCAUUUAUUAUAGUCAUGUCAUAUCAUUCGCUUGUACAGAUAGCAUGUCCUUUAGGCUGCUGGUGACUCAUUCACAUAUAUCAAAUCAUUGAUCUAGAAAAACUUACCAUAUAAGGCCAAUCAGAAAAAUAAAGUAUAAGUAAAAUAUCUUUACGAAGAUAUUACUCACAGUGGUCAGAUGGCUGAAUCAUCCUUGUAGUUGACCUUACAUAAUUCGCAACACAUUGGGUCAUAAUACAAUUCAAUCCAUUCUUAACUUGUUUAAUUCUCUUAGGCUUCUUUCAUGUUCUUUAAUUCAUUUAGAAUACUCAAUGUAUGCCUAAGAAUGCUCAUAAAUGAAAAAGAACAGAAAUUGAAGCAUAAAACAACUUUUCAAAGUUUCCUAGAACGGAGCACUUCGCUUGAGCACAACAUUGGUCACUUGAGCGGUUAAACAAUUUGCAAGGGGUUCGCUCGAGCAGUCUGUAAAGACUGCAAAAGUACUGAAUGCUCGAUUUUUACACUCGAGCCAACUUCUUAGUCGCUCGAACCAAGACUAAAAACUAGGGGUGGCCGCUCAAGCGGUCGUUUGGUCACUCGAGCUAACCUCUAAUGUCUGCAAAAGUACUAGAUGCCUUCAAUUUAUGCUCGAGCGAUAACUUCACCGCUUGAGCGAUGCGGUCGAUUUUUGGGUUUUUCAUAAUGCUAUUUGGGUUUCAAAACAUGGUUUUAAAUGAUACAACUUGCAUGUUAUGUCCUAUAUUUGAGCCAUAAUCAACUACUAACAUUAUCAUAUGAGUCAAUUCCACAAGAUUGAAGUUCAAAUCAUCAUGAAUUCAUCAUGCAAGCCCUAAAUCAUGUCAAAUUCUUUUUCAUAUCUCCAAACCCAUGAAAUCAAAUUCCAUAACUUCAUGAAUUGUGUGCAAGCAUGUGAAAUGUAGCCUCUAAUUUCAUCUCAAAUGGUACAAAUGAUGCUCAAAUUCAUGUGACUCAACAAAAUUAUGCAUGCAUGUGUGAUUUGGCACCAAAUUCUUCAUGUUAAGUUUAUAUCUUACAUUAAUUCACCGAUUCUUCUUGAAUUCACAAGUUAUAAGAUCUCAAUUCACAAUCUAAGGUGUAAUUACUCACCUAGAGGCUUUAAUUCUCCCAAUCCUAGCUAGAACAUGAAUUACUUUUCACUAUCCUCCAAUUCACUAUGCAAAUCCUUCAAGUUGAGCUUCUUUUCUCUCUAAUUCUCACUUCUUUCACUCUAGAGUGUAUAUUUUCAAAAUUUUGAGCACAUAAGAUGAGCUUAAGCACAUUUAGGACAUAUUUAUAUGUUGGCAUAAUCAAAAUUGCUAAUUAUGGUUUAGUGCUAAUUGAUGAUGCUUAAUUAAAUUAAUUUAAUCUAAUUAUUUUGAUUCGAAUCAAUUUUUAAUUAAAUCUCACCGUAGGCUCUAAAAAUUAUGCUAAUCAUAAUUGUACCGUCAAUUUCGGUUUUUGUUGCCUCUACGGCCCUCAAUUACAAAUUAUAGUAGAAUACCGAACAGAUUUUUCUACGGUGAACAGAUAUAAAUUCAAAUGCACAAAUAAUCACAUGUUUAGCACCCAAGAUCAAAUUAAGCACAUAAUCACAAGUAUAAUUAAAAAGUAACAGCAUAUCACAGAACAGGGUUAUCACAUAAAGUAGAAAUCAUAAUAGAUAAUUCAUCAAUGAACAUAUAUGCACAAAUUACACAUCAAACACAUAAUUAGCAUUCAAAAUUAAAUAAAUAUAAAUAUACUACGUAAUGGCGUUAUCACAGGACAAGUGCAUGAGUAGAGAUGAAUCGUGUCUCUAUCAGCCUCUACCAUUAUCCUCCAUCCUCCGCCGAUUGCCGACAGUUUUUGGUUUUCAUAGAUGCCUUAUCCAUUGACGACUCAUGGUUUCAUGGUCUCUCUCUUUUCUCUCUCUCUCUCUCUCUCUCUAGGUUUCCUUCACUGUUUAGAAUAAGUAUGGGUUUUUCUACAUUUCUCAUCAAUUAGAGAACCCAUUUGAGAAUCUAAAUUGGUUUUUGUUCUUGCUUUGUCUCUAUUUCAGAUAACUAAUUGAUGAUGUGUUUGAUGCCGUUGAAAUUGGUCUCUUAUUAUUUGCUUUGUAUUAUUGAUUGAAAAUUCUGUUAUUGGUUGUUAGAAGUUGAUUGUAUAAGUCGCCUAUCAACUGUUGAUAUUUUGCUCGACUGUGCUAUCUAUGAACAAAACUCUUCCAAUUUCUAUGUAUUUGGAUAUAGACAUUACUAUAUUCAUUUUUUUAGGCUAUUUGAUGGAUUGAUUUGGGUGUGGGUUUGUACUUUAAAUGGAGUUGUGUUGUAGAAAUGCACAAAUUCAAUAAGGAAAUAUCAAAAUAACUACCAAAUAGAGGAUUGACAACAAACCAUGAAUAACCAUUAAAUAACCACAAUGUAUUGACAACAAAUCAUGAAUUCCAUGUUAUUUCAUAAAAAAAAAUAAUAAAAAUGUAGUCCUCUUUUUAAUGCCAUCCAACUAUUUGAUAUAAUGCUUCGUUGACAAAAUUGAUGAUCCACAUAAACUGCCCACCUUAGACCAUCUCUAAUUCUUCAUCAAUUUUUUUUUUGUCUUAUCAAAUUUAAAUUUGAUGAAAAAAUUAAUGAAAGCCUGUUUUCAACCAUUUCAUCAAAUUUGAAGGUGUUGUUUUGUACCGUGUAUUCUUUUUUUUUUUUUUUUAAUUUCUUUUAUUAGUUACCUAAAAGUCAUUCAAACCUGCCCAGUGCACUUGUCAAAAAGUCUUUCUAUAUUGGACCCAUAAAUGAUGAAAAAAUUUAGUGUAUUGUUAGUGACUGGUUUGUUUUAUAGGGCCUAAGAAGUAGUUAAACUAAUAUCACAAUCCGCUAUUAUGAUUUGUUUAUUUUAAUGAUGGUUGAUAUUCUUUAUUCAAGACCUCAUUUCCAUUACAUUGUUUCUAACUUUAAGAUCUUUAUUUAUUCAUUUAUGCACUUUUUAUUUAUUUAUUUAUAAAACAGAAACGAUGUCCAUAUCAGAAGGAAAUUCCUCAUCAAUUGAUUGCGCUCGAACAUCAACAUUCAUUGGCAGCUCUCAAACACCCACACAGGCCAAUGGCUCUAUUCCGUUCUCAUUUGAAAAUGACCUUGAGGAAGACAAAGUGGUAGUUGUUAGAACAGAUAGACUAAGAAGUGCCGUGUGGAAGCAUUUUCUCAAGGUUCAAAUUAAAAAAGUGGACAAGGCAAAUAAGUAGCUAUUGCAAGAAGACUCUUAGGGAAAAAUCUCAAAAUGGAAACUACACACUUGCGAGACCAUUGUAAUAUUUGUCAAGUAUGGAAAGCAAUGGAAAGUAUGAAUGAGAAGGUUCAAUCACCAAGCCUUGCAAAGGGAGAGGGGAAAAGGAAACUUGAGGCGUAUAUUUUUGACCAAGAAUUUGCUAGGAAAGAGUUGGCUAACAUAAUAAUCAUGCAUGAAUAUUCUCUUUCCAUAGUGGAGCAUGUUCGAUUUAAGAGGUAUUCAUAUGCCCUUCAACCUUUAUAUAAGAUGGUAUCUCGUAACAUUAUCAAGAGUAACAUUUUAAAAAUAUAUGAUUUUGAGAAGAUGAAGACAUUGAAGAUGAUUGAGCAAAAUAAAAGUAGAGUUGUCGUCAUGAUCGAUAUGUGGACAUCUAGUAAUCAAAAGAGAGAAUUUAUGGUUAUCACGACACACUUCAUUGAUGACUAUUGGAAAUUGCAAAGUCGCAUUGUAAGGUUUGCUUACGUGCCAUGCCCACAAAUAGCACAAGUGAUGUGUGAUGAAUUGAUGGAGACUUUCUUGGAUUAGAAUUUUGAUACGAAGCUUUUGACUAUUACGGUUGAUAACUAUACAAGUAAUGAUGAGAUGAUUACAAUUAUUUUGGGUAAGUUGCAUUCUCGUUCUCUCUUGUUGGGUGGAAGUUUAUUUCACAUACAUCGAGCAGCUCCUAUUCUUAACUUGAUUGUGAAAGAUGGGUUAAAUGUAAUGAAGGAAGGGAUUGAAAAAAUUGCGGAAAGUAUGGUGUAUUGGACAACAACACCAAAGAGAGAGGAGAGAUUUACAGAAACAACCCAACAACUAUGCAUCUCUUAUUCUAAGAAUUGUGUCUUGACUAUGUUACUAGGUGGAACUCAACCUUUUUGUUGCUUCAAACUACCAUAGAAUACAAGUAUGUUUUCUUCCAUUUGAAUACCCGUGACCCCCAAUAUAAAAUUUCAAUAAAAUAGAGUGAUUGAGUAUUUGCUAGGAAAAUUUGUGAAAAAUUGAAAAUCUUUUAUGACAUCACUGAGUUGUUUAGUGGGACUAAGUAUCCAACUUCAAAUAUAUAUUUUUUC